rnacentral:rRNA from 1 species
ACACGGAGGGCGCAAGCGUUGCUCGGAAUCACUGGGCGUAAAGCGGGUGUAGGCGGUCUAGCAAGUGAGAUGUGAAAGCCCACGGCUCAACCGUGGAAGUGCAUCUGAAACUGCUAGACUUGAGUGCCGGAGAGGGAAGUGGAAUUCCUGGUGUAGGGGUGAAAUCCGUAGAUAUCAGGAGGAACACCGGUGGCGAAGGCGACUUCCUGGACGGCCACUGACGCUGAGACCCGAAAGCGUGGGGAGCAAACAGGAUUAGAAACCCCAGUAGUCC